GGCCGCGUAGCGUAAUGGUUAACGCGCUAGUUUCCGGAGCUAGAGAUUGUGAGUUCGAGUCUCACCGUGGUCG